rnacentral:rRNA from 1 species
AUUGAUUGAUGGUGCUUGCACCUGAUUGAUUUUGGUCGCCAACGAGUGGCGGACGGGUGAGUAACACGUAGGUAACCUGCCCAGAAGCGGGGGACAACAUUUGGAAACAGAUGCUAAUACCGCAUAACAGCGUUGUUCGCAUGAACAACGCUUAAAAGAUGGCUUCUCGCUAUCACUUCUGGAUGGACCUGCGGUGCAUUAGCUUGUUGGUGGGGUAACGGCCUACCAAGGCGAUGAUGCAUAGCCGAGUUGAGAGACUGAUCGGCCACAAUGGGACUGAGACACGGCCCAUACUCCUACGGGAGGCAGCAGUAGGGAAUCUUCCACAAUGGGCGCAAGCCUGAUGGAGCAACACCGCGUGAGUGAAGAAGGGUUUCGGCUCGUAAAGCUCUGUUGUUAAAGAAGAACACGUAUGAGAGUAACUGUUCAUACGUUGACGGUAUUUAACCAGAAAGUCACGGCUAACUACGUGCCAGCAGCCGCGGUAAUACGUAGGUGGCAAGCGUUAUCCGGAUUUAUUGGGCGUAAAGAGAGUGCAGGCGGUUUUCUAAGUCUGAUGUGAAAGCCUUCGGCUUAACCGGAGAAGUGCAUCGGAAACUGGAUAACUUGAGUGCAGAAGAGGGUAGUGGAACUCCAUGUGUAGCGGUGGAAUGCGUAGAUAUAUGGAAGAACACCAGUGGCGAAGGCGGCUACCUGGUCUGCAACUGACGCUGAGACUCGAAAGCAUGGGUAGCGAACAGGAUUAGAUACCCUGGUAGUCCAUGCCGUAAACGAUGAGUGCUAGGUGUUGGAGGGUUUCCGCCCUUCAGUGCCGGAGCUAACGCAUUAAGCACUCCGCCUGGGGAGUACGACCGCAAGGUUGAAACUCAAAGGAAUUGACGGGGGCCCGCACAAGCGGUGGAGCAUGUGGUUUAAUUCGAAGCUACGCGAAGAACCUUACCAGGUCUUGACAUCUUGCGCCAACCCUAGAGAUAGGGCGUUUCCUUCGGGAACGCAAUGACAGGUGGUGCAUGGUCGUCGUCAGCUCGUGUCGUGAGAUGUUGGGUUAAGUCCCGCAACGAGCGCAACCCUUGUUACUAGUUGCCAGCAUUAAGUUGGGCACUCUAGUGAGACUGCCGGUGACAAACCGGAGGAAGGUGGGGACGACGUCAGAUCAUCAUGCCCCUUAUGACCUGGGCUACACACGUGCUACAAUGGACGGUACAACGAGUCGCGAACUCGCGAGGGCAAGCAAAUCUCUUAAAACCGUUCUCAGUUCGGACUGCAGGCUGCAACUCGCCUGCACGAAGUCGGAAUCGCUAGUAAUCGCGGAUCAGCAUGCCGCGGUGAAUACGUUCCCGGGCCUUGUACACACCGCCCGUCACACCAUGAGAAGUUUGUAACACCCAAAGUCGGUGGGGUAACCUUUUAGGAGCCA